rnacentral:sRNA from 1 species
GCCGGGCACAGUGGCACAUGCCUGUAAUCCCAGAGGCUCGGGAGGCUUAGGCAGGAGGAUCAUGAGUUCAAAGCUAGCCUCAGCAAAAGCAAGGUACUGAGCAACUCAGUGAGACCCUGUCUCUA